CGCGUAGGCGGCUCGCUAAGUCGGGUGUGAAAACUCUGGGCUCAACCCAGAGCCUGCACUCGAAACUGACGAGCUAGAGUUCUGGAGGGGAAAGCGGAAUUCCUGGUGUAGCGGUGAAAUGCGUAGAUAUCAGGGGGAACACCGGUGGCGAAGGCGGCUUUCUGGACAGAAACUGACGCUGAGGCGCGAAAGCUAGGGGAGCAAACA
rnacentral:rRNA from 1 species